AGAGUUUGAUCCUGGCUCAGGACGAACGCUGGCGGCGUGCUUAACACAUGCAAGUCGAGCGGGGGCUUCGGCCCCAGCGGCGAACGGGUGAGUAACACGUGGGCAACCUGCCCCGAGCACUGGGAUAACCCCGGGAAACCGGGGCUAAUACCGGAUAUGACCGCGACAGGCAUCUGUCACGGUGGAAAGGUUUAUUCUGGCUCGGGAUGGGCCCGCGGCCUAUCAGCUUGUUGGUGGGGUAGUGGCCUACCAAGGCGACGACGGGUAGCCGGCCUGAGAGGGCGACCGGCCACACUGGGACUGAGACACGGCCCAGACUCCUACGGGAGGCAGCAGUGGGGAAUAUUGCGCAAUGGGCGAAAGCCUGACGCAGCGACGCCGCGUGAGGGAUGAAGGCCUUCGGGUUGUAAACCUCUUUCAGCAGGGACGAAGCGAAAGUGACGGUACCUGCAGAAGAAGCACCGGCCAACUACGUGCCAGCAGCCGCGGUAAUACGUAGGGUGCAAGCGUUGUCCGGAAUUAUUGGGCGUAAAGAGCUCGUAGGCGGCCUGUCACGUCGGCUGUGAAAACCCGAGGCUCAACCUCGGGCCUGCAGUCGAUACGGGCAGGCUAGAGUCCGGUAGGGGAGACUGGAAUUCCUGGUGUAGCGGUGAAAUGCGCAGAUAUCAGGAGGAACACCGGUGGCGAAGGCGGGUCUCUGGGCCGGAACUGACGCUGAGGAGCGAAAGCGUGGGGGGCGAACAGGAUUAGAUACCCUGGUAGUCCACGCCGUAAACGUUGGGCGCUAGGUGUGGGGGGUUUUCUACACCCUCCGUGCCGCAGCUAACGCAUUAAGCGCCCCGCCUGGGGAGUACGGCCGCAAGGCUAAAACUCAAAGGAAUUGACGG
rnacentral:rRNA from 1 species